rnacentral:rRNA from 1 species
AGUGAACGCUGGCGGCGUGCCUAAUACAUGCAAGUCGAACGGACAAGUAAGAGCUUGCUCUUAUGAGUUAGUGGCGCACGGGUGAGUAAUGUAUAGCUAAUCUGCCCUACACUAGAGGACAACAGUUGGAAACGGCUGCUAAUACUCUAUACUCCUGUCUUACAUAAGUUAGAUAGGGAAAGUUUUUCGGUGUAGGAUGAGGCUAUAUUGUAUCAGCUAGUUGGUGAGGUAAUGGCUCACCAAGGCUAUGACGCAUAACUGGUCUGAGAGGAUGAUCAGUCACACUGGAACUGAGACACGGUCCAGACUCCUACGGGAGGCAGCAGUAGGGAAUAUUGCUCAAUGGGGGAAACCCUGAAGCAGCAACGCCGCGUGGAGGAUGACGCUUUUCGGAGCGUAAACUCCUUUUGUUAGGGAAGAAUAAUGACGUACCUAACGAAUAAGC